UUUGUCAUGCUUAAAGCGAACGAACGCGAGAGACAGAGAGCGAGCUAGAGCAAGAGCGUGAGCGAGCAGUGUGAGUGUGCGAGAGAGAGUGCGCGCCAAAAAAACACAAGUCCAAUGUAUAUGAAAAUGGGGGUAUGGAAAUCCCUCCUUUUGACAGCCGAACCUUGACAACACAGGUUCUUGAUGGAUGUCUUCUGCUUCUAUUUCGGCUUAUAUCAUAAAUAGUGUAUGGAAUAUUGAAAGCUCCAACUCAAUGCCACUGCAGAUCGGGACCCGACCUUCCACUCAAUAUACCUUGCACAAACAGACACAAACAGCGACGCCGGCUGUGACUGCGCAGUUGUUUUGAUAAAGUGAAAAAGAAACACGGCAGCAGCAGAGCAGUAACAACAAGUAUGAAGGGAAAGGAGGGUGGUGGAAGAGCUACUAUGACUGGAGAGGAGUGGCGGAGGAGCUACUACGAUGAUGAUGAUGAUGAUGAGGAGUUUUCGAGAGAGAUGACGAAGAGACGUUCACGGGAGAAGGCGACGACUGCUUCUUGGGCCGCCAGCGCUGCCGUCGACUCACACAUACCACUACAUGCGCAGCGAGUCAAACAAACAAAUAAAAUGUGAAGCAGAAAUGGCAAAAAAUUAAACAAACAAGUAGACAGGAGCGGUUCACCGCGGGCAGCGGGCAGCAGCGGCGACGUCGGCGGCAGACCUGGAGUUGAACGAACCGAAAGACGACCAAGACACAAAAAAAUCAGCUCAACGGCAGCUUCGCGCCAAAAAAACAUCGACAUUUCUACUACGCCGUAGUAAAAUUCCUAAAACAAAAAAAGCGUAUUCUCAAUUGACA